rnacentral:tRNA from 1 species
GGACUUUUAGUUUAUUAGAAUUUUUUGUUUACAACAAAAGGGUUAGGGAAGUCUU